GACGAACGCUGGCGGCGUGCCUAAUACAUGCAAGUCGACCUUAGGGGCGAACAGGUGAGUAACACGUGGGUAAUCUGCCCAUCAGAAGGGUAGAACACUUAGAAACAGGCGCUAAACGCGUAUACUGGUGGAUGGAGCCGCGGUGCAUUAGCUAGUUGGUGGGGUAACGGCUCACCAAGGCCACGAUGCAUAGCGGACCUGAGAGGGGGAUCGGCCAAAUUGGGACGGAGACACGGCCCAAACUCCUACGGGAGGCAGCAGUGGGGAAUCUUCGGCAAUGGACGAAAGUCUGACCGAGCAACGCCGCGUGAGUGAAGAAGGUUUUCGGAUCGUAAAACUCUGUUGUUAGAGAAGCGGUAUCUAACCAGAAAGCCACGGCUAACUACGUGCCAGCAGCCGCGGUAAUAC
rnacentral:rRNA from 1 species